ensembl:lncRNA
GGAGUCAGACGGGGUAGGCAGGGGUAUACAGGGAAGACAGGGGUAGGCAGGGGUAUACAGGCGUAGACAGGGGUAUACAGGCAUAGACAGGGGUAGACAGAGGUAGACAGGGUAGGCAGAGGUAAAUAGGGCUAGGCAGGGGUAGACAGGGGUAGGCAGAGGAAGACAGGGGUAAGCAGGGUUAUACAGGGUAGACAGGCGUAGGCAGGGUUAGACAGGGGUAGUCAGAAGUAGUCCUCUGACUCAGGAUCCUCAUGCCCUCACUGCAUUUCCCCAGGGCCUCAGGAGGGAGGCACACCGUUAGCCGAGUUAAAUGGUCAGAUGAUGGUCCUGUUAUGAGAAUGGAUUCAGAAAUUAGAGAUUUCAGACAAAGAUUGCAUGCCUCCCCUUUCGCCUGCCAGCUGGUUAAGAUUAUGAUUGAUUUGUUUGAGAUGGGCUAUAGGAAGCAGGCAUCGAUUUUUUAAAUGAUUUUUCAUCUCCUUCACCCUGAAAAAUAUUUACAGUUGUACCACAGGACCAUAUUUUCACUAGGGCUCUCUCUCUCUCUCUCUCUCUCUCUCUCUCUCUCUCUCUCUCUCUCUCUCUCUCUCUCUCAGAAAUGCUAUCAGCUGAGUCCAAGACAAGAGGAAUGAUUGGGAAUUUUAACUAUUUUUAUAGAUAGAAGAAAGAAAGAACGAAAUGUGUAUUAAUUACAUCAUGUAACAAGACAAUAAUUCUUUAGAUAGGUAGAUAGAAGAAAGUUUUGUAUCAAGGAAGGACACAAAUUUAGAAAGAAAGAAAGAAAGAAAGAAAGAAAGAAAAGAAAAAGAAAGAAAGAGCACCACCUGGUUGGACAAGUUGCUACUGCCAUCACUUACACUCAAAACAUUCACAUGUUUAGUUUCAACAUUGUCUUGAUUUACAUUUUAGGGGUCAUGUGACGUUUUCAAAUAAUUCAGUAUUAUAUUCUAUCAUCAAGGCUUUAUUUGUCCACAGUGUAUUCAAUAUUAUGGACACAGAGGACAGUUUAAAAGCUGUGAGUAUAGCAAUCACACGUGCACACACACACACACACACACACACACACACACACACACACACAGACACACUCUUUGCAUCCCUGAUCUGUCAGCAUAGCCUGUAAUUGGUGUGAGAAAAUG